GUUAAAGGUUUAUUGCCUUGGGAUAGGCUUGCGUCUGAUUAGCUAGUUGGUGUGGUAACGGGCACACCAAGGCUACGAUCAGUAGCUGGUCUGAGAGGAUGAUCAGCCACACUGGGACUGAGACACGGCCCAGACUCCUACGGGAGGCAGCAGUGGGGAAUAUUGGACAAUGGGCGCAAGCCUGAUCCAGCAAUGCCGCGUGUGUGAAGAAGGCCUGCGGGUUGUAAAGCACUUUCAGUGGGGAAGAACAGGUUCGGGUCAAUACCCCGGAGCCCUGACGUUACCCACAGAAGAAGCACCGGCUAACUCCGUG
rnacentral:rRNA from 1 species